AUUGAACGCUGGCGGCAUGCUUUACACAUGCAAGUCGGACGGCAGCACAGAGGAGCUUGCUUCUUGGGUGGCGAGUGGCGAACGGGUGAGUAACGCAUCGGAACGUACCGAGUAAUGGGGGAUAACUGUCCGAAAGGACAGCUAAUACCGCAUACGCCCUGAGGGGGAAAGCGGGGGAUCUUAGGACCUCGCGUUAUUCGAGCGGCCGAUGUCUGAUUAGCUGGUUGGCGGGGUAAAGGCCCACCAAGGCGACGAUCAGUAGCGGGUCUGAGAGGAUGAUCCGCCACACUGGGACUGAGACACGGCCCAGACUCCUACGGGAGGCAGCAGUGGGGAAUUUUGGACAAUGGGCGCAAGCCUGAUCCAGCCAUGCCGCGUGUCUGAAGAAGGCCUUCGGGUUGUAAAGGACUUUUGUCAGGGAAGAAAAGGGGCAUGUUAAUACCGUGCUCUGAUG
rnacentral:rRNA from 1 species